AUUGAACGCUGGUGGCAUGCCUAACACAUGCAAGUCGAACGGCAGCACAGCAGUAGCAAUACUGUGGGUGGCGAGUGGCGGACGGGUGAGGAAUACGUCGGAAUCUGCCCAGUCGUGGGGGAUAACUAGCCGAAAGGUUAGCUAAUACCGCAUACGACCGAGAGGUGAAAGCGGGGGGACCGCAAGGCCUCGCGCGAUUGGAUGAGCCGACGUCGGAUUAGCUAGUUGGCGGGGUAAAGGCCACCAAGGCGACGAUCCGUAGCUGGUCUGAGAGGAUGAUCAGCCACACUGGAACUGAGACACGGUCCAGACUCCUACGGGAGGCAGCAGUGGGGAAUAUUGGACAAUGGGCGCAAGCCUGAUCCAGCAAUGCCGCGUGUGUGAAGAAGGCC
rnacentral:rRNA from 1 species